AUGCAAUGUGUCGAGGUGAGUCCGACUAUAUCUAGCCGGUACCGCUCAACCUCUGCCACAAGCUCCGGCUCCUUCCCCGCCAGCGAGGUGACGUUCCAUGUCCCAAAAACUAGUUUCCUUGUCCGGGGAUUGGACCGCCAAGGCUCCCGCCUUGGUCUGCCACCCGAUUCACAUUGCACCGGACCCUUCAUGUUCCUCCUGCGGGUGGUGGGUCCACAGUUGGACGAGCCCAUGUAUCCGGUUCGGGCUGGGCCCGGCCGGGCCCCAUGGGCGAAAGCCCGGCCACCAGGCACUCGCUCACGGGCCCCAACCCCAGGCCUGGCUCCAGGGUGGGACCCCGGUAACCCUCCGGGCCGGGUACUCCGACUCUUCGUUUUCACCGCCAUGAAAGAUCCUUCGAACCGUUCUUUGUCUCACCCUUCACCUAAGACCAAUUUGUCAUGGGAGACCCUACCAGGGGCACUAAGUGCCCCAGGCAACAUAGCUCCUAGGAUCAUUAGGGCACUCAAACUCCUCCACCACGAUAAGGUGACGGUUCAAGGAGAAGACCGGAAUAGGGUGGCUUGCCACCUCCGGGUCGGGGGAGAGGUCCUACCUCAAGUGGAGGAGUUUAAGUAUCUCGGGGUCUUGUUCACGAGUGAGGGUAGGAGGGAUCGGGAGAUCGACAGGCGGAUUGGUUCGGCAUCUGCAGUGAUGCGGACGCUGAGCCGAUCUGUCGUGGGGAAGAGGGAGCUGAGCCAGAAAGCCAGGCUCUCGAUUUACCGGUCGAUCUACGUCCCAAUCCUCACCUAUGGUCAUGAGCUUUGGGUAAUAACCGAAAGAACGAGAUCGCGGAUACAAGCGGCCGAAAUGAGUUUCCUCCGUAGGGUGGCCGGGCUCAGCCUUAGAGAUAGGGUGAGGAGCUCGGACAUUCGGGAGGGACUCGGAGUAGAACCGCUGCUCCUCCGGAUCGAAAGGAGCCAGUUGAGGUGGUUUGGGCAUCUGGUCAGGAUGCCUCCUGGACGCCUCCCUGGGGAGGUGUUUCGGGCAUGUCCUGCCGGCAGAAGGCCCCCGGGUCGACCCAGGACACGUUGGAGAAGUUACAUCUCCAAUCUGGUCCGGGAACGCCUUGGGGUCCUGCCGGAGGAGCUGGUGGACAAGGCCGGGGAGAGGACGGCCUGGAGCUCCCUAGUUGGGAUGCUGCCCCCGCGACCCGGACCCGGAUAA
rnacentral:lncRNA from 1 species